AACGAACGCUGGCGGCAUGCCUAACACAUGCAAGUCGAACGAGACCUUCGGGGCUAGUGGCGCACGGGUGCGUAACGCGGGGGAACCUGCCCUUAGGUUCGGAAUAAGUCCCCGGAAGGGGUGCUAAUACCGGAUAAUGUCUUCGGACCAAAGAUUUGUCGCCUUUGGCUGGGCCCGCGUUGGAUAGGCCAGUUGGGAGGGUAAAAGCCUACCAAGGCGACGAUCCAUAGCUGGUCUGAGAGGAUGAUCAGCCACACUGGGACUGAGACACGGCCCAGACUCCUACGGGAGGCAGCAGUGGGUGAUAUUGGACAAUGGGCGGAAGCCUGAUCCAGCACUGCCGCGUGAGUGAUGAAGGCCUUAGGGUUGUAAAGCUCUUUUACCCGGGAUGAUAAUGACAGUACCGGGAGAAUAAGCUCCGGCUAACUCCGUG
rnacentral:rRNA from 1 species